rnacentral:lncRNA from 1 species
CCCUUCCUUCAGGUGAAAGCAGUGAAUGUUGGUUCUUGGUUUGUUGAAAAGGGUACUGCCUAGACACAGGAAGUCCCCAGAUCUGAGAGUCGGCUAUGCAGCAGCCAUUUCAGAUCCGAGAGUCAGCCAUGCAGCAGCCAUUUCAGAUCCGAGAGUCGGCCAUGCACUAGCCAUUUCGGAUCUGAGAGAGUCGGGCAUGCAGCAGCCAUUUUGGAUCUGAGAGAGUCGGCCAUGCAGCAGCCAUUUUGGAUCUGAGAGAGUCCGCCAUGCAGCAGCCAUUUUGGAUCUGAGAGAGUCGGCCAUGCAGCAGCCAUUUUGGAUCUGAGAGUCAGCCAUGCAGCUGCCAUUUUGGAUCUGAGAGAGUCGGCCAUGCAGCAGCCAUUUCGGAUCCGAGAGUCGGCCAUGCAGCAGCCAUUUUGGAUCUGAGAGAGUCGGCCAUGCAGCAGCCAUUUUGGAUCUGAGAGUCAGCCAUGCAGCUGCCAUUUUGGAUCUGAGAGAGUUGGCCAUGCAGCAGCGUUUCGGAUCCGAGAGCUGGCCAUGCAGCAGCCAUUAAGGAUCCAAGAGUCGGUCAUGUAGCAGCCAUUUCGGAUCUGAGAGAGUCGGCCAUGCAGCAGCCGUUUGGGAUCUGAGAGUCGGCCAUGCAGCAGCCGUUUGGGAUCUGAGAGAGUCGGCCAUGCAGCAGCCAUUUGUGCAUGCUUCCCUUCUCCCAGCCCCACAGGAGACUGACUCUGCAUCCUGCCUCCUUUCAAAUGCAUCCUGUGCCAACAGUUUCUGAAAACGGAUAAACAAAUUGACAACCUCAAAUGCAAAGAUGAAACAUUUCUCCAGAUCAUCAGGCACAUGGUUUACUCAGGCCCAGAGGAGUGAGCUGAUAUAAAGAAGCUGUGCCACACAGUCGGAUGGGGUCCGAAGGAAACAAUAGGGCUGAGUGAUGAGUAUUGAAGAAGAAAUCUAAAGAAAGAAUGUCUUAUCAGCUGACCGCAAAGCUGCCUCCUUCUACCUGGCCACAUUGCUUAUCUAUUGUACUGCGUCUCUCUUGGAUGGAAACGAUACACCAAUCACUCAUAAGUGAAUAAUUUCCUUCUAAAUCACAGGCCUACACCUGAGGUGGCUGCCACAGGUGUAACCUGUUUAGACCAGCAAUUAUAUUUACUCCAUGAUGACAGAAAACAGGAAAGAUGUAUCAUACAGUGCAUUUGCUCCUGCUAUUUAUAAAUAGACCUCUUUACAUUAGCACUACAUAUGACUGUCUCAUCCACUUAUCAGCAAUUUAAUAUAUCACAGACAACAUGGGUUAAAAGCAAAAUAAGUUUCAAACACUAACCUCAGUUUACUCAUAAAUAUUUCACUUCUACAAACCUUGUUUAUUCAAGCUAUGGUUCUAUACAAAUUGGCAAGUCAUUCUUUAUUUUACUUUUCUGUGGUUCUAGACCCUUCUAGACUAAAGAUCUCUGACUUUACUGCUGCCUUUUCUAGAUGUUUUCCUGAGUACACAUGUGAGCUUAUUGUUAACAUCAGUCUCUUUCCCUUUAAGAACUGGUUUUUUUCUGAUGGCUGUGGUCUAAGAGAGCUCACUCUGGAUUUCUCUCUGUUAGUUUUCUAACAUAACCCACAGUGAUAAAUCUAUUUUAUGUUGGGAAUAAGGGAAUAUUUAUACGUAAAGUCAAACAAAAUUGAAGUUUACUUAUGCUUUUUUGCACUUUGAUAUUUUCUAUAUAUUCUGCCAUGUUCCCUAAUAUUCUCUGUUAUUCUAUUUUAUUUUUAAGAAAAUGAUUGGUCUCUACCCUCACAAUGAUUCUGCAAUCCACUGUGGGAACAUGACGCACAGCCUCGAGCCACUGUGGGAGCUUCCUCAUCAGAAGGGAGGGGUACCAGGGGGUGUGGUGAUGUGGCCCUAGGUGCGGGAAUUUCCAAAAGGGAAGCUCUGGUAGCAGCCUCUCAUCUAUAGUAUCAUAUUUUCAGUGUCAUCGUAACGCAGAGAAGUAGAAGAUUCAAGACUUUGGAAAACAGCCAUUUUCUCUCAAUUACAAGAAUAAUAACAGUAUUUGAAAGAUCCUAAAAGUGGUGAAGAUGGAGUAAGUGUUUGGUAGGGAAUCCCUGCCCUGGCUGAUCAUUAUGUCUGCCUUGGCUGUACAUGUGAUCUUGGUGGCAUUUCUGGACUAUCACCCAGAGAGGUGGGUUAAGACUGGUUAAGACCGCAGAGUCAGACCGCUUGGAGUUGAAUCCUGACACCACCGCAUUCUAGCUGUGUGACUUUAGAAAGUCCCUUAGCCUCUAUGAAAUUUAGUUUGCUCAAUCAGAAAAAGAGAAUAAUGACACUGUUCAUCUUACAGAAUUGUUGCAAGGAUUAAAUAAACUAUCAGAUGGAAAGGACUUGUGGUGAUAUCUCGCACAUGGCAAUGAC